GGAGUUUGGUCCGUGUCUCAGUACCAAUGUGGGGGACCUUCCUCUCAGAACCCCUACUGAUCGAUGGCUUGGUGGGCCGUUACCCCGCCAACAACCUAAUCAGACGCAUCCCCAUCCCAUAGCGAUGAAUCUUUGCUCCUCGUCAGAUGCCAUCAAAGGAGAACAUAGGGCAUUAAUCCGACUUUCGCCGGGCUAUUCCCUACUAUGGGCCAGGUUGGAUACGCGUUACUCACCCGUGCGCCGGUCGCCAUCUACCAAAGCAAGCUUCGAUAAUGCUGCCCCUCGACUUGCAUGUGUUAAGCCUGUAGCUAGCGUUCAUC
rnacentral:rRNA from 1 species